UACAAUAUGCCUAGCUCUUGGAUUCAUUUUUCUAGAACCAAGGAGUAGAGGUGGGGCACCCAAAACCCUAUUCCAGCUGGGGCUCCAAAUUCCUGUCUGUAGGAUGGCCUCUGCCCGAGGUCACAAAUGAGGAACACCAUGAGGUUCAGGACUGUCUUCGGCACACUGGCUACGGGGACCAGGGGGCUACUCUGUGCUCUGUCCAUCUUCAUUGUUUAACCAGAAAGGAUGUGCCCAAGCCUACAGGAGGGGCUGACAGCUCCUACAGGUUAGAAAGAGAUGGGGUCCAUAAGGGUCCCAAGUCCAGUGACUGAAACAACCCCAUGGCCCCAGAGACAAAAUUACAGUUCAAGUCACCAUGUUCACAACUCUAACUUCAACACAAGACUCCCUCAAUUGCCUCACUGUAAAACAGGUAAAUAGGUGUAGUUGGAGAUUCAGUGGCCAAGCCUGGGUCCCAGGUAAGGUGACUAACCAUCCCAGUUUGCCUGACCAGAGAAGUUUCCCAGAUACAGGACUUUGGGUUUUAAAGCCAGGAAAGUCCCAGGUAAGCAAGGCUGAGUUGAUCCCCCUGGGAGGGAACUGAUUUAUUCAAUUCUGGAUAAUUGAAUAAACUCCACAUCCUCACCAGGAAUAUUCUACUAAGUGAUAAUUAGUUACUCCUAAAUUUGCCCGUUUCUCUUCCAAGACCUGGGUCCAUUGGAUGACGACCUUAUCAACCCUCCUCACGCCCAGGCCCUGGCUCUCAGCCCUGCAUUGACCUGUACCCCUUCUUCCUCAGGCAAGUCAGAAAGGAGACCCAGGAAUGACAACCCAUGUCUUUGGCUACACUGGUGAGGGCAUUGGCCUGCUCCCUAUCACAUUUUUAUUCAAGGUAUUGUAUUUGCAGACAAAAAUGAAGUCCCACAAAUGUGGGACUCCACCUGAUUCUCAAAAAGAGAAUAAAUCACAAGUACAUUUUAAAAGUUACAUUUAAGAUUAGCAAACUGGAAUCAAAUGAUUGAUACUUUAUCCAGAAAGCAACACACAUUCUUUUUUCAUUUGUGCUUCUUUGUUAAAGCAUCUUGCCUCCCAGAGUUAUAACUCGUUCAUCAGGAGCAAACACUGAAGCGCACUAGAUAAUACCUUUCAAGUGCGGUGGGUAUGGUUCAGCAGGAAUCUAAUUAUGGCAGAAAAACAGCAGCUAUGACCACCAAACCGACAGAAAUUGUGUGAAAGGCAAUUUCUUAAUUUCAGUCUUAAACUGUGCCUGGGACAAUGUAUGUGAAAGUCUGAUGUCCGUGUGGAUUCAAAUCCUGAUUCACUCAGGCAUGGUACUUAACCUUCUAAGUCUCAGUUUUCUCAUCUGUAAAAUGGCAUUCUUAUCUCACACAGGCAGUUAGCCAAGGCCUGGUUUGCAGAAAGUGCUCAGCUGCUGUGACUCUUCAACCUUCCUGUGAGAUGCCUUCUUUAACCCCACAGAUGUGUCCCACGUGAUGGCCAAGGCAGGUUCAUCAAUCAUGGCUUCUCAAGGGAGCUGGAACAGAAGAGGAGGAGAUGGGGGGUCCCAGGAAGGGCUGUGAUCUGCCUGGGGUCCCACAAUGAGAAACUGGAAUGAGCUCUCCAGCCUCUUUCCACUACAACUGGCUGGCAGUCUCCCAUAAGACAAGAAAAUACAGUCAAAAAGGAAAUUAGAGGGAUUUUUGUUUUCAUCCCUGUUCUUUUAUUGAUUUCAUCUGUUCUUGGGUAUUUUAUUUGUUUGCUUGUUUGUUUUGAUUUGGGUACUUUUUUUUAAAUGAAGCUUCCAUCAGGUAGGAGUAGGAUGUAGAAAUCUGAGUUGAUGGCUCCAUGGUAUAAGAUCAUAUCCUUCAUUUGAUGAGUAACAACAUAAUUUCUGCUUUGAGUCCCAUUUUCUUGCAAUGGAAGAUUAAUCUCAGGGUAUCAAAAUCAUUGCAUCUGAGCUUGGGCCUGCCCACAUCACGGGAAGAGGAGAAGGAUAGACAGAUGAUAUCUCAUGGAGGGUACCUGCGAGGAUCCCUCAUCCCUGGCCUUCAGUUUCCUCAUCUGCCCUUGACCACAGGAGCCCUGGGAGGAAGCUCCCUCAGUGGCUCCUGCGCUGUUGCAGGCCCUCUACACAUAUCUGCUUCCUCAUGGGAAGAGCAAGGCAGCCUCUGGUGAAAAGCAGCCCAAGGGUCUAAGAACCACACUGCCCUGCAUCAGGGCCCCCAGAGGGAGAAAACAAAGGUCAUGCUUUUGAACCUGGAUGCCAGAAGAGAACAGCUGUGGGGAAAAGCACGUCUGGAACCAAGAAAAACAUGUUUACCAGGGGCCAUUCCUCAUACCAGCUGCAGACAGGCUCAGGAAAGCCACAGGCUGCACUGUAGUUGUGACCUUGCAUGUGGAUGUAAGGCUCAGAAGGCUCCUCAAAGAACCUAACAUGUUCCCAGAGACAGGCUGAGUCCGUUCUAACGUCUACCCACUCUGGCCACAUCACUGCACCUGACUUCCCUGUAUCAUAAGUUAGAGAAAUAGUAUAGAGUCUGGGUGAUGCUGGGUAGAUGGGAGGGAAUGGGAUAGGAAGGGGAGAGACAGAGAGCAAGAGAGAAGGCUGUUUGGGAUUUUGUCCAUAACAUAUGCAUAUAUAUUUGUAAAGUCCAUUAUUUAAAAUCCCUUUCAUGGUUUCAGUUUCCUGUGGACCACUUUUCAUGCCAAUUUAAGUUCCUUGAAGGUAAGGAGAUAUGUGUGUAUCUGCCAGCUUCACUGUGCCUUAACUCUUAGGCAAUCAAUAAAUAUUAGUAAAUAAAUCAAAGGAUACCUGAUAUUCUAAUAAUGUCUUACUAUUUUUAGGUGAUUUGGACAAAGCACAUGCACUGUAUAUGCAUCUGAGAACCACAUUUCUAGUUUAAAAAAAUUAUUUGUAGGCCAGACACAGUGGCUUAUGCCUGUAAUUCCAGCACUUUGGGAAGCCAAGGCAGGCGGAUCACUUGAGGCCAGGAAUUUGAGACCAGCCUGACCAACAUAGCAAAACCCCGUCUCUACUAAAAAUACAAAAAGUAGCUAGUCAUGGUGGUGCAUGCCUGUAAUCCCAGCUACUCAAGAGGCUGAGGCAUGAGAAUCACUUGAACUAUAUAUUUUUUAAUUGCUGAGUGAUAUUCCAUUUUAUGAAGCUCGGUUUGCUUAUACAUUCUCCUGUUGAUGAACAUCUGGUAUUUCCCAUUUUCCUCUCCAAGGAUUAGACAUUCCUCCAUAGUCUUCUUGUAAACAUGUUUUCAUUUCUCUUGGGAAAAUGCCUAGGAGUGGAACUGCUGCGUCAAGGGGGUAGGUGUUUGUAUAGUUUUAUAAGAAGUUGCCACAUCCUUACUAAUAUUUGGUGAUAGUUAUUCUUUAAUUUUAAGUUAAAUGUGUAGUGGUGUCUUAUUGUGGUUUUAAUUUUUAUCUCCCUCAUGAGUAAUGAUAAGUGUCUCUUUAUAUCCCUAAUGGCUAUUUAUGUAUCUUUCUGUGAACUGUCUAUUCAAAGUGUUUCAUUCAUUUCUGAUUGAUUGUUUAUCUUUUUAUUAUUGAGUUAAAAGAGAUCUUUAUAAACCCGGGAUUUUAAUCCUUUUUCAGAUGUUUUGCAAAUAUUUUCUCCUAACUUAUGGCUUGCCUAUUUAUUUUCUUAAUGGUUAUCACUUAUCAGCAGAAGCAUUUCAUUUUGGCAGAGACAAAUUUGUUCAUUUUCCUUCACGUUUAUUAUUUUCUGUGGCCUGCUUGUCUAUCAAACAUUUGCCUAUCUCCAGGUUAUGAAUAUAUUCUCCUGUAUUUCCUCUAAAAGUUCUAUGGUUUUAUAUUUAGCUCUGCAAUAAUGUCAAAUUAAUUUCUGUAUAUGAUGUGAGACAUAAGUUAAGGUUUUGUUUGUGUGUGUGUUUCCAUCUGAACAUUCAGUUAAUACAGCAUCAUUUUUUGAAAAGACUUUUCUUCCCCCAUGGAUUGCUUUGGCACCUUUGCCAAACAAAUGGCCACGUAAGCAUGGGCCUGUUUCCAGCACUCUUCUCAGAUCCAUUGAUCUAUUUGUCAAUGCCUAUGCUAGUAUCAGACUGUCUUGAUUAUCAAAUCAACAAUGUUGGUAUUAUAAUGUUUUAAAAGUCACAUAGUUUGAAAACUGCAAAUUUAUUUUCCUUUUCCAGGAUUGUUACAGAUACACUAGAUUCUCUGUAUGUCUAUAUAAAUUUUAGAAUCAGUCUGUAAAUUUUGACAACAGAUUCCUGCUAGCAUUAUUGCUGGAAUUGCAAUAACUCUACAGAUCAAUUUGCAGAGAACUGACGUCUCAACAGCAUUUAGUCUUCCAAUCUGCAAAAAUGAUACUCUGUGUGUGUUUUCUUUAAUUUUGAAAAAUUAUUAUACUUUAAGUUCUGAGAUACAUGUGCAGAGCAUGCAGGUUUGUUCCAAAGGAAUACAUGUGCCAUGGUAUUUUGCUUCACCCAUCAACCUAUCAUCUAUAUUAGGUAUUUCUCCUAAUGCCAUCCCUCCUCUAGCCUCCCACCCCCUAAAAGGCCCCAGUGUGUGAUGUUUCCCUCCCUGUAUCCAUGUGUUCUCAUUGUUCAACUCCCACUAUGAUUAAGGACAUGUAGUGUUUGGUUGUCUGUUCCUGUGUUAGUUUAGUAAGAAUGAUGGUUUCCAGCUUCAUGCAUGUCCCUGCAGGACAUGAACUUAUCCUUUUUUAUGGCUGCAUAUUAUUCCAUGAUGUAUAUGUGCCACAUUUUUUUAAAUCCAGUCUAUCAUUGAUGGGUAUUUGAGUUGGUCCCAAGUCUUUGCUAUUGUGAACAGUGCUUCAAUAAACAUAUGUGUGCAUGUGUCUUUAGAAUGAUUUAUAAUCCUUUGAGUAUAUACUCAGUAAUGGGAUUGCCGGGUCAAAUGGUAUUUCUGGUUCUAGAUCCUUGAGGAUGUCACACUGUCUUCCACAAUGGUGGAACUAAUUUCCACUCCUACCAAGAGUGUAGAAGCAUUCCUAUUUCUCCACAUCCUCUUCAGCAUCUGUUGUUUCUUGACUUUUUUUUUUUUGAGAUGGAGUCUCACUCUGUCACUCAGGCUGGAGUGCUGUGGCACGAUCUUGACUCACUCUGCCUCCGGGGCUCAAACAAUUCUCCUGCCUCAGCCUCCCGAGUAGCUGGGAUUACAGGUGUGCACCACCAUACCAGGCUAAUUUUUGUAUCUUUAGUAUAGACAGGGUUUCACCAUGUUGGUCAGGCUGGUAUAGAACUCCUGACUUCAUGAUCCACCCGCCUCAACCUCCCAAAGUGCUGGGAUUACAAGCAUGUGCCACUGCACCAGCCAUUUUCUGACUUUUUAAUGAUAGCCAUUCUAACUGGCGUGAGAUGGUAUCUCAUUGUAGUUUUGAUUUGCAUUUCUCUAAUGACCAGCAAUGAUGAACUUUUUUUCAUAUGUUUGUUGCCACAUAAAUGUCUGCUAUUGAGAAGUGUCUUCAUAUCCUUUGCCCACUUUUUGAUGGUUUUUGUUUGUUUUUUUCUUAUAAAUUUGUUUAGUUUCUCUCUAGAGUCUAGAUAUUAGUCCUUUGUCAGAUGGACAGAUUGCAAAAAUUUUCUCCCAUUCUGUAGGUUGCCUGUUCACUUCGAUGAUAGUUUAUUUUGCUGUGCAGAAGCUCCAAAUAGAUUCCAUUUGUCAAUUCUGGCUUUUGUUGCCAUUCCGUUUGAUAUUUUAGUCAUGAAGUCUUUGCUCAUGUGUAUGUCCUGAAUGGUAAGACAUAAAUUUUUCUUUAAACAAUCACAUAUAUUUUAAAUAAAUUAAGAGAAAAGGUACCAGUGUUUUACAUUUAUCUAGAAAUUCACUAUUUCCUAUAAUAUCAUUUCCCUUCAGGAAAUACUAAAGGAAUUCCUUUAGUAUUUCUUACCGUAAAGGUCUCCUGGUGAUAAACUCUCUUAGCCUUCGGAAAUGUCUUUAUUUUGCCUUCAUUCUUGAGGGAUAAUUUUGCUAUAUAGAGAAUUCUGGAUUGACUUUUUUUUUGGCAUAUUAAAGAUGUCGUUUCACUAUCUUUUGGCCUCCAUUGUUUAUCAGAAAUCAGCAAAUAUUGCUCCUUUGUUUCACGUGAUGUGCCAUUCUUAUUUAGCUAAUUUCGAUUUUCCCCUUAUUUAUUAAUUCAUCAGUAUAACUAUGAUGUCCCUAGGUAUUAUUCUGCUUGGCGUACGAUGAGCUUCCUGAAUCAAAAGUUUUAUACUUUUCACAUAUUUGGGAAUUUAUUUCUGCUCCAUUUACUCUCUUCCCUCCUAGAAGUGAGAGUACUAAUUACUAGAGUAACUAGAACUCCAAUUACUCCUACAUUAGAUAUUUUGAUACUUUUGAACCAGUCCUUGAGACUGUUCAAUUUUUUUUCUGUGCCAUUUUUUUCUCUCUUUUCUUUAGAUUGGAUCGUUUUCAUUUGAUCCCUUUUCAAAUUCAUGGACUUUUCCCUAUGUUGUCGCUAUUCUGCUAGAGGAUCAAUUUUUAUUUCAAGAUUUUACUCUUUAGUCUAGAAUAUUUAUUUGGUUCCUUUUUAUUUUUUCUUUUUGAGAUGGAGUCUUGCUGUGUCACCAAGCUGGGGUGCAGUGGCAUGAUCUUGGUUCACUGCAAUCUCCGCCUCCCAGGUUCAAGCAAUUCUCCUGCCUCAGCCUCUUGAGUAGCUGGGACUACCAUUGAAUUUGGUUGCUUUUUAGUUUGUAUUUUCCUGAUGAAAUUUUACAACUUUUUAUUCAUUAGGAGCAUCUUUUCCUUUACAUGACUGAGCAUGGAUAAAAUUCUUCCCUAAUUCCAACAUCUGGGUCAUUUGCUAUUCUCCUUUUGUAAGUGUUGACUCUCCUCCAGAAUCUGCCUCUUUAUUUGCCUCCAAGUAUUUGUCCUAUGUGCAAGUGUGUGUGGGUGUGUGGGUUUUCAAACUCUUAAAUGUCUCAGCAAAGGGUGGCUUAUCUGAUGGUGAGAUCCUGAAAAAGAGAGAAUAAACAUUUUCAUCCUGCUGUUUUUAACCCAUGAAAGUGCAGGAAGAGGUUGACUGCAUUCUCUAUAGUAGGUCAAGCUGGCUCUGUGGCACAAUAGAUAGUGCAUUGUCUACAGGAGGCCUUGUGUACAUACAUGUGCACUCACAUAUGGGACGGAGCCUACAAUCUUUGCUGACAACAGCAUGCAGUGUGCAAAUCUCUGUAGCUCAGACCCAGAACCUGAAAAAUUUAGACCUAACAUUACUUUGGCCCAGUAAGAAUGUUAGCUGGAAAUUAGUUUAUAGGCCAGGAGCUAUUUUUUAAAGAUCUGUAGGCUUGCUAGCCAUGACAAUGGUGAUAAUAAUGAUGAUGACAAUGACAUCAUCAUCACCAAUAGCUGCUCCCAUCAAUUGAUCUCAUAACAUGUGAUCAUAUGUUAUCUCUGUCCUCACAACAAUCCAUUUCACAGUUGAUGAAACAGACUCAGUGAGCACAUGACCACUUCUCACAACUAAUGGAGCCAGGAUUCUGUCCUUAUGGCCCAAGCGAUAUUUUUUUUUUUCCCCCACUGUACCACAACACUCACCAGGACUGGGGUGCCACCUAUUACCUCAUUGAUAGUGGAAGCGUUGUCCUCAAAUGGGCCUGGGGAUAUGUACAUACAUACUUAUGUUUACAGGGGAGAGGGCAACUUGUUCCACCUUCCUCCACCCUAACUUCAGAUCUCAGCUGUGGAGUGGAAACUCCAUACUCAUGCCAUAGCUAUAGCAUUGGAGGGAAAGGGGAGAAAAUAACUAAAGAGUAAGGAAUUGGGUGAAGCUUUGAGGUUUGGAUGUGACAGGUAGUUUGCACAUAGUUGGAAUGCAGUAACAUUGGCUCACAAGGUUUGUCAGAAACCCUGAUUAUUUUGGAAGUUUCCAAAGUUUGGUCCCCUCCAGAUAUGAUGAAAACAGGAAAUUCAGUAAACAUGGCCACUGAAAGCCUAGCUCGUUUCUUGGAAAAAAAGUUUCUGGAGAGUUCUCAGAGCACAUAAAUAGCAGGGCUGUAAAGACAAAGGUAACCGUUCAAGGAAUGGAGAAGUUCUCAAAAAUUACAGCCAGGCCAGAGCUGUGGUUCAGAAAGGGGGUUUUAUGUUGUUUCUGUUGUUUCAGUUUUGGCCUCAGAAAGGAUGUGCAGCCCUGCUGUAAACAGCCUCUCAGCACUUGGCAGGGAUGUGCCCACAAGGCUGGUGUAGAUAUCCAGGGCCCAGCUUAGACAGGAAGGCCCAGGGACCCACAGGGAGCCCUGGUUUGAGAGAGAAGUUUUUCUUUUCAGAAGAGAGCACCUGGGAGAUAUUUCCAGAGAGCUCGUUGUGACCUGUCAUUAGCUCUUCCCCCAUGUUUUCUGCAGCUGGAGUUACCAUGCACCUUUGGUGGACCAGGAACCCAAGAUUUGAGGUGGACAUUAAUCCCAGCUGGACACUCUCAAUGCUGAGGAUGUAGACAGACAAACCAAUGCGGGGAGCCCUAGUACUACCAGGAGCCAUUGGUGGAGAAAUCUUCAGAUCCUGCCAGGCCCAUAGCUGUUGCCUUUGUGGGCUCCUGGGUUCUGCACAUCAGUGGUGCACCCUAGGAUACCCUCACUGCAUUGCACACUCCCGGCCAUGCUCCAUGGGCAGCCAUUAUUUCCAGUAACUGCCAAUGGGAGCCAGUCUCCAAAGAGUAAGGAAUCAGAGGUGUUGCUUGGAGUGUGUUAAACUAGGACUUUGCUGAUCCCACAGGCUCCUUUCCAGAUGAGCUGACCCUAAUCUCUGGGAAGCUGGAUCUGUAGGAAAAAUGGGAUGGGAUUUGAGGUGACCCUUCCUGCCCUUCUUGAGCAGCUUGUGAACCAGAAGACGUGCCUGGAGGGAAAGCCUCAUUUGGGGAAGUGCAGUACAUGAAGUUUUUUAUUUUGAAAAUGGAGAACAAUCCUCCUCACAGUUCUGUCUCCCCUUCCCCUUUUCCAACUAGAAUACCAGCUCCUCUGCACAUCAGUCAGUCACAUUUCAGGGAAAACUGGCUGAUAAUGAAGAAAUCAAUAGAGAGGAAGCCUUGUCCUUUCAGCUGUGGGCCUCUAACUGCAGAGCCAGAAGAUACCCCAGCGUGGGGACUGGGCCUUCCUUGCCCACUGAAUGCUUUCUAUACAUGAAGACUUGGAGCUCUUUACAGAUGACAGUAGCCAGUGAGGAAGGUAAAAGAAGAGGAAAGACCCAAAUAUGGGUUUGCCACUCUUUGUUGCCAACACCGUGGGGACAGUCACUCUGCUUUCCUUUGACCACCUUCAACCUCACACACCCACACCCACACUCUGAUCUCACAGAGCCUGGGUGCCCACCUGCCAGCCCUCCUUGAAACCAGAUGGCCAUGAACUUGUCACCAAGUCAUCUGAAGAUCUUCCAUUGCAACGUGUCUGGCAUCUGCCACAGAGACCAAGGGACACGAUUGAAUAACCACUCCAGUGCAAUUGAUGAAGGGGUGGGUCUGCACUGAAGUUAGAUGCACCAGGGCCUGGGCCAAGGGUGGGCUGGGUCCACCUUAUGUGUGAUGCUCUUCUUCAGAGUAGCAGCUGAUUCAGGGGGAUUCCAGAGAACUUCACAACCUCGGUCUAGUUAGAUAUCUUGGACAUUUUCUAUUUCUAGAUUAGAAAAUAUAGCAUAUGCUGAUUUUAAUAUAACUGUGUAUAUGACUUUUUUUUGAGACAGAGUCUCACUCUGUCACCCAGGCUGAAGUGCAGUGGCACAAUCUUGGUUCACUACAAACUCUGCCUCCUGCAUUCAAGCAAUUCUCCUGUCUCAGCCUCCCAAGUAGCUGAGAUUACAGGCUCGUGCCACCACACCCAGUUAAUUUUUUGUAUUUUUUAAGUAGAAACUGUGUUUCACCAUGUUAGCCAGGAUGGUCUUGAUCUCCUGACCUCAUGAUCUGCCCACCUUGGCCUCCCAAAAUGCUGGGAUUACAAGCAUGAGCCACCAUGCCCAGCCAUGUGACUUUUUCAGUAAGAAAAAUUUUAAGUGAUAUUCUAAACAACUUUUGUCAUGUAGAGAGAAUAGUCAAAUAUCUAUUUUACUAGCAAUAUAGUUACUCAUGCAUAUUUAAAAUACUACAUGAGUAUGGCCUAGUGCAGUUGCUCAUGCUUGUAAUUUGAGCACUUUGGGAGGCCGAGGUAGGCAGAUUGCCUAAAUUCAGUUUGAGACUACUUUGGACAACAUGGUGAAACCCUUACUCUACACCAGAAUACAAAAAAUUAGCCAGGUGUGGUGGCAGGCACCGAUAGUCCCAGCUACUUGGGAAGCUGAGGUGUAACCCAGGAGGCAGAGGUUGCAGUAAGCUGAGAUUCCACUUCUGCACUCCAGCCUGGGUGACAGAGCAAGACUAUGUCUCAAAAAAUAAAAUAAAACAGGCCCUAUGCAGUGGCUUAUGCCUGUAAUCUCAGCACUUUGGGCAGCCGAGGCAGGCAGACCACCUGAGGUUAGGAGUUUGAGACCAGUCUGACUGACAUGGUGAAAUGCCGUCUCUACUAAAUACAACAAAAUUAGCUGAACGUGGUGAUGUAUGUCUGUAAUCCCAGCUACUUGGGAGGCUGAGGCAGGAGAAUGACUUGAACCCAGGAGGCAGAGGUUGCAGUGAGCUGAAAUUGCACCAUUGCACUUCAGCCUGGGUGACAGAGAGACACUUCAUCUCAAAACAUAAAAUAUAAAAUAAAAUACUACACGAGUUUGGAAACAUUGCUUUUUCCCACAUUACUCACCUCCUUUAUAGCACCAGCAUGUUUGUCGACACCAGAUCUCUUUUUUAUUAUUUUUUUUGUUGACGAAUCCAUCACCUUUGCUUCAGUUAAAUCAUGUAGGAUGCAGUAACUCUGAGUCUGAGGGGUGCUUCCCAGGAAAAGCAACCCCCCACAGCCAUUUGCAGAGCAUUGGAAUAAGUUUUACCUUCAUCCUUCAGGUGUGCAUUUGUUAUCCUCUCUGUGACAGUCCCUUAUCACAUGGCUUUUAGGAUUCUGAAAAAGCUAGACUCCCACAUUUAACCUUGCAGUCACCUGGCUGGGUGUUAUGUUUCUUUGCCUCCUGUUGGAGACCCUAUCAGCAUCUCAAACUAGCCUUAUUUGAGAACGUUGGAGCCAAUGGUUCUUUCCCAGAUAGGACUUUGUGUGUCCAAAUAAAUGGUUCAAAAUCAUCAAGCAAAUAAAUACCCUGGAAUAAGAGAAGCCUAGUGAGGAUUUGACUCUAAAUUGACUUCCUCUGUUCUGCAGUAAGAGGUUAGGAAUAAAACCAAACCUUGCCUGAGGUUCAGGUAUACUCAAAAACAAUGAGAUGUGGCUCAGGUGUGCACUGGCCAGAUUACUGUGAGGUCCAGUCAGAGCCUUUGCAAGCCUAGACCUGAGAAGCCAGACCUCUUAGACCCAGAAGGGCCAGUGGAGCUGGGCUGGCCUGCUGCUAUUCACAGGCAGAGACUCUGCCAGCAGAAGGGACUCUGCUGUCAGAGCUAGAGAGCAGCGGACCACAUGACUGAGGCCCAAGCCCAGGUCUCCUGACUCAAAACCUCUUCCCAGGGCUCGUCCUCCUUCCUAAAUAUAUGUGCUUCAAAUCGUCACCAGAUCUCGGGAAAGCACUGGCUUUGUCUGGGAUAAACACCAACUCCACAGCACACCCGGUCAUUACUAGAUUGGCAGUUGUUGUCUAGGUCUUGUGGCUUCUUGAGGUUUUCUCGGGUGUCUCUCUCCCAAAUCUUUCCCCUUUCCUUUGAUUAUACUCACAUAAACAUUCAGCUUUUAGCCCUCAAGCUCUUUCAGGCAUAGUUCACUUUGUCCCUCUCUCUUUCCCUAUGCUAUCACCCCUCCAUCUGCUGUCAGAGGCCCAUCCAGCUGCUCCAGCCCUGUGGCUCCAGUGUCUCCUCCUCUGUCUUUCCCUUGCUUCUUUUCUGGGAAGAUCUAUCUGAGGGUCCUGAAAGAGACCCGAGGUUCUUCUUUUGGACAAAGAGGUCUGGGUGGAUGACAUAAUUCACUUUACGUCUUAGAAAAAUAACCUUGUGGCUCUUGGCUCUCUUGGGCUCUCAUUUUAGUUGCCUAAGGGCUCCAGGCAGAAGGCCAAGGAGCCCAGCCCCAGCCUAGAGACUUGCAGGGCUCAGAGAGAUAUACAGUGACAGGCUGUCUGCUGUGUCUGCCACACCCCUUGUGAGGGAUCCUACUUGCAGAACCUGACAGCUGAGAGGGUGGCCCUGAGACUCCUGUUCAUGCCUCCCAAGGCUUGCAAUUGUUUGAUUAUAUGCUACUGCCUACCCAUUUCCACUUUCUCUCCUGCUGUGUUUUGACUGAUAACUUUGACUCAACCUCCUGAUGCCAUAAACUGUUACCGACUGUUCUGGCAGCAGGAAAAGGCCAGUUCCAGGGAAGGCUGAAUGUGUAUUGUUCUGGAUCAUUUUGAGAAAAAAAAGAGACACCUUGAAGAAAGACGAAGACAAAAUACAGAAGAGUGCUGAAUUUACAAAAGCCUAAGGGGAAAAACCUCAAACGUCCAUCAGGAGUGGAAUGAAUAAACAAAUCAUGGUGCGUUCACACAAUGGAAUACUACCGUCUAGUAAAAAGGAAUGAACGGCAGAUGCACACAGAAACAUGGGUGAAUCCACCAGGCACCAUGUUGUGCAAAAGAAAGCAGACUUGAAACAACGCAUUCCAUUUAUAUGAAGUUUCAGAACAGCAGAAAUAAUCCAUGUGGAUAGGGUGAGAGUAGUGGUUAUCGAAGAGCAAGGGAGAAUGUGGAUUGACGGGGGAGGGACACAGCUCUUCUGGCAGUGGCCUGUACCUCAUUCACGGGGGUAGUUACACCUACGUAUGUGUACAAAAAUUCCCCCAGCUCUGAAGAGUUAUGUACUUUACUGUAUGUAUGUGAUGUAGUUUGGAUACUGCCCCCUCCAAGUCUCAUUCUGAGAUGUGACCCCAAUGUUAGAGGUGGGGCCUAGUGGGAGGUGUUUGCCUCAUGGAGGCGGAUAGCUCAGUGAUGACUUGGUGCCUUCUCCACAGUAAUGAGUGAGUUCUCACUCUAUUCGUUCAGGCUAGAGCUGGUUGUUUAAGAGAGUCACACUCCUCCCACCACUCUUCUUCCUCCUCCUCCUCUCUCACCUUGUGAUGUGCCUGCUCUCCCUUUGCCUUCUGCCAUAAGUGGAAGCUUCUUGAGGCUUUACCAGAUGCAGAUGCUGGUGCCAUGCUUUCUGUACAGCCUGCAGAACCAUGGGCUAAACAUACAUCUUUCCUUUAUAAAUUGCCUACUCUCAGGUAUUCCUUUGUAGCAAAACAAAACAGACUGAUAUGGCAUGCUAUACCUCAAUAAAAACCUUAUAAAAAUUGAUAAAGGUGAUGAGGAGUCAGUGGGAAAGGAUCCAAGGCUCAGAAAGAGAAUGAGGCAUAUGAGAAGCUGAGGGAAGCAGGGGAGAGCAUUUCAAUAACAGGGAGACACAGUGGAUCAACGUAGAGAGACUCUUGGAUUGGAUAACCAAGAGAUUCUGUCAUGACAGAAAAAUUUCAACAGGAUAGAUUCAACUUGAAGAAAGAGCAAGGUUAGGGAGAUUCUGGAGGCUGAUCAAGUCUUGGAACUGGCUGAGGAUGUCUGUAAGUGGAAAAAAAGAAGCCACUGGAGUGGAGGGUGGGGAGGAUAAAGCUUGGAGCAAGAUUCUCAGAGAAGCAACAGGAUCCUAAGGCAAAUAACCCCGAGCUUAGUUGGGAAAAGGAGGAUCAUUAGGAGACUAGGAAGAAAGAAAAGGUGGUGGUGAGGUGCUAGCCACUUUGUAUGGAGUGUUUCUGACGGUGCUAACAGCACAGGGUGAGCACAUUGCUCUGGGGGGACGGACGUGAGACCUUGAAUAGAGAAGUUGCUGUUGGGAAUGUGAAAUUUUUUCAACAAGAGGUUGAUGCUGAAAGUGAUAGAAGCCUGGAACUAUAACUGGCUACACACCCAGGGAAUCCCAUUUUAACCAGUUACUAGCCAUGUUUGGGAACCCAAGAAUCAAUGCAGAGAAGGUGAGUGUGUACAGGUGUUCCUCCAGGCUGGGGAUUAACAUUGCAGACCUGACCAAAAGUUGACAAUGCUAGGAAAGUAAACAUGUCUCUCAGAAGGAUCCAUAAUAACAGAAAAUGAUGGCUUAAUAUUUGUAACAUUAAAGUCCCAAGAGGAGAGGAGAAUGAGUGAGGGGCUGAGAAAUAUUUGAAAAAAUUAUGGCUACAAAUAUUUCUAAAUUUGGCAAAAGACAUAAACUUGUAGAUUUGAGAAGCUCGGAGAAUCCCAAACAGAAUAAGCUCAAAGAGAUUUGCACUUAGAGACAUCAUAAGAAAACUACUGAAAACUAGAAACAAAGGAAUUAUCUUGAAAGCAGCAACAACAAAAAGACAUUAUUUAUAAAAUUACAAUUAUUUAAAGGGUUAUAGAUUUCUCAUUAGAAACCAUAGAGGCCUGGCUGGGUGCAAUGGCUCACGCUAUAAUCCCAGC